rnacentral:tRNA from 1 species
UGAAAUAAAGUUUAAAAUAUUGAUUUGUGGAAUCAAAGAA